rfam:Triticum urartu cultivar G1812 contig583230, whole genome shotgun sequence.
UAUGUACUCCUUCCGUCCGGAAAAGGUUGUCUCUCAAAUGGAUGUAUCUAGCACCAGGUUAGUGCUAGAUACAUACAUUUGAGGGAUAAACUUGGGACAAGCUUUUUCGGACGGAGGGAGUAUGUG